rnacentral:lncRNA from 1 species
AUGCUCCAGAACACAAGUGGUUGGCUAAAGGAAUCAGGAAGAAGCGUUUGUUGUUCUAGUUGGUGUAGCCUUGCUCAGCUACUUAGGUACCGUCUGUGUGUUCCUUUCCUAGCACCAGGUAUUAUCUACUGCUGUCUGCAGAAUUCAGAUAUGGAGGGCUCAGUGGUGUCCCCUGGUCUUUGGACCAUUCUGUAUUUUAAUGAUCAUGAAUGAAGCAUACUGCAGGAUUCUGUUUAUUACAAGACUAUUUGCAAAAGACCUAUGCACACCAUUCAUUGUACCUUGAAAAACACUUGAUAAUAUGGGUUGCAUUUGCAAACUUCAAUGUAUGACAUGGAAAUCUGGCAAGCUGCCUGGCAUCUACUUAAAGGAUUGUCAUUCUGGGAAAAAUAAAUUUCUCUAACUAGACAAAAGUCAAUGUUUUCAUGUUUUACUGCAAUCAAACUGAUAGAGCUGACAAUUUAAUGUCUCAACACUUAAAAUAUCUGUGGAUAAUCAGUUACCUCA